CAGGAUGCACACUGGAAACAAUUGCGGCUGCGGCCGGGAAAUCCCCAGACAGUCUGCGGCGCUCUUGCGCGGCUGUCCGGGCGUAUACGCACACCUGCAAGGUUUUUUGUGUCACCUCAAACAUUUCCUCACAAAAAAUCAACUUCAUGUAUUUUUUAUCAUUUUUUAAUUUUAUUAAAACGAAAUCCGCAAAAAGAAGACUGCUUAUUUCCUUCAUGUACGCCUCCACAAGCUCUGCAGGAAGUGGAUCAUCCUUAAGACACAGCGAACUCUCCUAACACAUUUCCAAGAUGAUUUUAUAAGACUUUAAGUGAUUUUGGUUAUUGAAUUUGUGUGUAUUGUUGGUUUUAUUGUAGUAAUAAAUAACAGCCCAUAAGUUAUAGAAACCUCACUAAAGUUAAAUUUUGGUUACACAGCAAUUAGUUUGUGGUUUAGAAUCGACAUAUCGAAGGUUUUUGUAAUUUUUUUCCUUUAUGAUUCAGGUAACUUU